GGGCUUGUAGCUCAGUUGGUCAGAGCACCCGGCUCAUACCCGGAGGGUCUCAGGUUCGAGUCCUGGCGGGCCCA
rnacentral:tRNA from 1 species